GUCUCUUCCAAGACUCUUGCAGAGCCACACUGAGAAGUGCUGCUCUCCUCCUUCUGAAGCAUCUGAGAAAUUCACAUUCACUGCUGCUCUGUUUAGCACGCCGUGUGUGGUCAUUAUCCAAGCAAUGCUGUUUCUACCUUUGCUGUGACGGAUGCACUUAGGGGACAGCUGAGAUAAUGUCAGGAGUGUUUGGAGCACCCAGGACACGAGGUGCCUGGGGCUUUGCUGACCGCUGCCUUUGGUGUGAAGCCAGGUCCCCUGGCACUGCCUGCACAGCCGGUCUUUCAGGUGCCCCAUGCAGCAGGGUGAGCAGAAGGAUCCUCUUAAUGAGCACACUGCAGUGAACACUUGGUUCCUAAUCCACAGGAUUGCGACAACAAAAAGAAGUAAUGCUUGCAGAAAUGGUACAAUGCAGAAGAAAAGGGGUGGCACAGCUGUUGGAACUGUCUGGUGGCUGCAGAGAGGAAUUCCAUCUCUGGAGCUGGCAAUCUGGAAGGCUGAAUUCCCCCACAUAAGGAAUCUGCUCCAGUAAGGCACAUCCCAACCGUGGAUGCAGUUUAUUUCAAUCUCCACCAAAUCUUAUGCAAAUGAAUAAAGAAAAUGAUACAGC
rnacentral:lncRNA from 1 species